CAGAAGAACAUGUUUCAAUGGUUAAUUCCAGAAGGCUUGUUGGUAACAUGGCAGGAAAAAAGGAUCAGGAUAGAUAACUUAGACAAGGCACAAGAUUUUUAUGAGCAGAUUGGAGGAACAGAAGAAGAAAGCAGUGGUAGAGAGGAAUUAUAAACAGGAAGCUCAAG